rnacentral:rRNA from 1 species
GAUGAACGCUGGCGGCGUGCCUAAUACAUGCAAGUCGAGCGAACAGACGAGGAGCUUGCUCCUCUGACGUUAGCGGCGGACGGGUGAGUAACACGUGGAUAACCUACCUAUAAGACUGGGAUAACUUCGGGAAACCGGAGCUAAUACCGGAUAAUAUAUUGAACCGCAUGGUUCAAUAGUUAAAGACGGUUUUGCUGUCACUUAUAGAUGGAUCCGCGCCGCAUUAGCUAGUUGGUAAGGUAACGGCUUACCAAGGCAACGAUGCGUAGCCGACCUGAGAGGGUGAUCGGCCACACUGGAACUGAGACACGGUCCAGACUCCUACGGGAGGCAGCAGUAGGGAAUCUUGCGCAAUGGGCGAAAGCCUGACGGAGCAACGCCGCGUGAGUGAUGAAGGUCUUCGGAUCGUAAAACUCUGUUAUUAGGGAAGAACAAAUGUGUAAGUAACUAUGCACGUAUUGACGGUACCUAAUCAGAAAGCCACGGCUAACUACGUG